ensembl:lncRNA
AAUCGAUUUUUUUGAUGCUACUUUAAAAGCUGUGACUCAAAUGCAAGGUAAUUACUUACUAGGUCUGAGUGUUCUUCUCGUCUACCUGUAUGUGUAUUCCUGUAUCAAUGCAUGUAUAAUAUUUUGCCUCAACAUCCUCUCAAAUGUGGGACCAACCUUCCCAGCAACUUUUAAAGCGAGCAUCUAAUAUCACUUGCCGCUACUUUUAUAUGCGUUGUUAUGUUUUGCCUCAGCCGGUGAUGGGGCACAUCCUGUAGACAUAUUAAAGUGUGAAGCAAAUAUCUUUUAUUAUAAUUAUAAUUCCAUGCACUAUAAUUUAGGAUUUGAUAUAAAUAUUAAUUUCAUUUAAUAUAGAAAACUGUGAUGAAGUUGAAGUGAAAGCAUAAAAUGUGACGAGGUUCCCCACUCCACCCAAAUCCCCCCCCCCUCAAUAAAGUGGGUUACUUUGACAACCUCCUUGCAGCGAAACAAAUCAGUGACCAAAUAUACGAGGGUCGCGUCACGUUGCGUCCGUGGCUAACAUGCUAAAUGCUAACAUUGGAUUGCGUUUGACAGCGAUGAGCAGCCGGACUACUGGGACGGGAGCGUGAUGAAGGUGAUCCUGCAGCAGAGCGUGCACGAGCGCUCAGUGCACGCGGACAGAUUUCUGUUUUUGCUGGAAAUGCACAUUGGAAUGUUGCCAACGGCUGGCCGACCUGGAGUGGGACGUCCAUGAGAAUGGAGCAGUCCGGACUCCCCCACCCACCACUUUGGUGGCGUUAGGAGGAGUUCAGUUUGGCGCUCGCGCCGUCUUGCUGUUUGACGAGAUGGUGAGGACGUCCCCGGGUCUCGUUCCUGGGUCCUUCACACGUUGUGUUUUCGACACCAGCUGCAGGGUCAUCUACGUCUUCGUUGGGUCUCGGAGCCCUGGAGGUCCAAUUAGCUUGAAAUAACCUCAUCAGCGAAACGCUCUCCAUUCCCCUCCUGUACGUUCCUAUAAGGGCCGGCUGACACUCAAGACUUCCACUGGACUCCAAUGGAGACAUGCUCUUCAGGGAAAGACCAAGGAUUUGAAAAUUCAAUAUUUUUUGGUGCAGCAACCAAUGAUUCUUUUUGUUACUGAUUCGUUUGAAGAUUAUUUUUAUUAAGGGGUUUCUUGAGGAGUUUCGUCGUUUUUCUGAGUGGGACCUUGCUUUAAUUGUUCCUGUGAGCACGUGGGUGACCAACAGGGUGCACAUCGCUGCCAGUGGAUUCAGAUGAUGCCGCUCUUCUGCAGGUGGUGUAAAGGUGCUAAGAAAGGCAACAAAGAAGAAGAUGGGUAGAUGUUAAACAAGGUUUUUUUUUAAGGAGAAGGAAAUACAUUCGUUGAAAGGAAUAAGACACGUUUCAGUUCGAAACACUGACUGUAACCAUCACUUUUUUGAACUACAAUGCGCCAAAGGACACCUUUUAAUGACUAAUUUGUUAUAAUAAGAAAGUACAAAUGCUAGAGUCCAAGGUCAUUCCUUACAUUCCAGCUCUUGAAAGUCUGAUUUCAGUUAUCAUAUAUUUUUUCAAAGAAUCUUCACUCUCUACAAAGGGCACACUUUAUAAUGACGUUAUUUUUAGUCCCCAUGAAUGCUUUUCGAAUCAGUAAUAAACAAUUGAACAUGAACAGCCCUCCCAGCAUCCCUUUAACCGGCAGAAACAGAACACGCUGAGGAGGAGCAACAGAGACGGACUGUUUCAGUAUUGUACCCUACAAGGACGCGUAUUCGAGUAAAGCGUGUUAUUGGCCGCCGAGCUGCAGUUUGCCGUAUCUCCACCAGAUGGAAGCCAAAACCCUGACCUCAUAUCAUUCAAAUCCAGGUAUGACUUUAGUGAUAUAAGAUGACAGUUGAGAAUACCGGCCCUAUGACUAAGCGUCAAAGCAGCCUCAAGACUAUCAUCAACACAAAAGCUCACAUUCCUUUGUACUAUGAAAUAAAUCCGGUCAAAGAGUCCUUGAAAUACUCCAGACGGUUUCCAUUGCAUCAGCGCAGUGCUGAACGGUCCCAAAACGUUUAAGAAAAGAACGACGGUACUUGUGAACAGGACACGGUGACACAUUUCGUGUCACGCCUUACUCGCGCGAUCCACAUGGACAGAAAUAUUUUGUAUAUUUUUCCAUCGGCCCUUGAGAGGUUCAAAAAUCCCACGGCUCACCAGAGAAACAGUCUUUCCUGUAAUUCUAUUUCAUCAAAUGGGGUCAUGAGUUCCGAAAUUUGUUAUUUGUGAGUGGGUGUGUGGUUGGGAAACUACGCAUGGAUGAAGUCUAAAAUUUACACCCAACAAUGGAGAACACCUGACUUUAGUUCCUCAUCACAAAACGCCACUGCUUAAAUACUUUCCCCGACCUUAAGGGGACAUUACCCUCCAAUACGCUUUCUGCAAUGCAAAUCCCCCUUUUCCUACCGUUCUUUUUAAAAACCUCUUUCACACAUGUAAGCCUAAAUACAUUACAAAUAAAAUAGAUAAAAAACAACAACAACAAAAAAAGCCAUUGGACAGAAUGGUCUCGAGACCUACUUCUUAAGAUCCUCUUAAAAGGUAAUGGUUGAUUCCUGUUGAUUUUCAUUGACUUAAAGCCAUUCUGCUCCCUGUUAUUGUGGCUUUACUUUAUCAUGUCCAAGAAAAUAAAGUCCACUCACUC